UGGGGAAUAUUGCACAAUGGGGGAAACCCUGAUGCAGCGACGCCGCGUGAACGAAGAAGGUAUUCGUAUCGUAAAGUUCUGUCCUAUGGGAAGAUAAUGACAGUACCAUAGAAGAAAGCUCCGGCUAAAUACGUGCCAGCAGCCGCGGUAAUACGUAUGGAGCGAGCGUUGUCCGGAAUUAUUGGGCGUAAAGGGUACGCAGGCGGUUUAAUAAGUCGAAUGUUAAAGAUCGGGGCUCAACCCCGCAAAGCAUUGGAAACUGAUAAACUUGAGUAGUGGAGAGGAAAGUGGAAUUCCUAGUGUAGUGGUGAAAUACGUAGAUAUUAGGAGGAAUACCAGUAGCGAAGGCGACUUUCUGGACACAAACAGACGCUGAGGUACGAAAGCGUGGGGAGCAAACAGG
rnacentral:rRNA from 1 species